AUUCCCACUGUUGUGUUGUGUUGUGUAUGGGGAUUUGGGAGGUUGUGUACACACGUUCCAGAUCUAUUUUUAAGCAUACAUACAAUUUAUAAAAUCUGAUCAAACCCUGAUAUCAGCCUGAUAUCAAUCAUUCGGAUUGGCCCAGCUUAAUUUUAUUUAAAUAGGUCACCACUAAACAACAAGAAACCACUAAACAACAGAUCUUUUAAAAAAUACAAUAAUUAGCUAAUACCUGUUUAUUAAUCUUGAACACUGUGUGCGUUAUUUUAGGUACUGCAGUGUCACGGCACUAUGAUUUCAAGUGCAAUAUUCAAGUUACUGUACCAUCAGGGCAGUACUAUCUGCUGUCAUCAGUGAACCUACAUGGCAUGAUGAGGCAGUUUGGUGAAAUUCCAAGACUCUGGAAGAGAGGACAUGAUCAAAGUAUUCUCUGCUCGAGCAGAUCCCUGGCACUGACAUCUACAAACCCAUAGUGGAUUAUAACAAGGUUACACAGAUUCCUUGCCUUGUGAUUUUCCACUGCUCAGCCACACUGUAGUUUGCAGAGAUGUAUAAAGGACACCCCUACGAGAAGCUGCUGUUCCUUGACAUGUUCCUUGGUGGCCUUGAUCUCUGGAGCUGACAAGGGAUUAGGAUUGCUUCUGGGCAGUGAAGACUUUGGAAGGAAAUUAGCAUAAUCCCAUGGGUCAUAAGGAGGCAUAGGGCAUUCUUUGGGUUUGCUGAACAUUAAGCGAGGUCCAAAUAUGGUUGUGGGAUCUGUCUAUCUAUUUCCAUCUCAGAGCUUUCAAUCUGAUCUGUGUUAUGCAACAAGGAGUACAGACUUCAUGACAUAAUUUUAACAUAAUGUUGCUUCCUCUGCAGUAAAUAGAUGGGUUAUGGGCAGCAAGCCGGAGGGAACAGAGCACAAUAAUGUUUGUGUGAGAAUGUUCAAGAAAGAAUAGAAUAUCAUAGAAUAUCAAAAGUUCAAAACAUUCUCAAGAUAGUCAAAAUAGUCUCUCUCUCUCUCUCUCUCUCUCUCUCUCUCUCUUUUUCUCUCUCUCGUAAAUAAAUAAAACUUGUUAUACUUACCAUCUUCUAUGCAGUCAACAGUUUUUUGAUGCAGUCAACACUAAUUAAAUGUACAGUACCAGUAUAAUUACAUUAUCACAGAUAUUUUAGCACAUUUUGACAAGAACAUUAUCCCAAGCUCUUCCAAUAUAAUGUCUAUAUAUAAAGCAACUACAGCAUAUAUGUUUAUAUAAGAUA